GAUGAACGCUGGCGGCGUGCCUAAUACAUGCAAGUCGAGCGAACAGAUGAGGACUUUGCUCCCCUGACGUUAGCGGCGGACGGGUGAGUAAACCGUGGAUACCCUACCUUUAAGACUGGGAUAACUUCGGGAAACCGGAGCUAAUACCGGUUAAUUAUUUGAACCGCAUGGUUCAUUAGUGAAAGACGGUUUUGCUGUCCUUUAUAGUUGGUUCCCCCCCGCAUUAGCUAGUUGGUAAGGUAACGGCUUACCAAGGCGACGAUGCGUAGCCGACCUGAGAGGGUGAUCGGCCACACUGGAACUGAGACACGGUCCAGACUCCUACGGGAGGCAGCAGUAGGGAAUCUUCCGCAAUGGGCGAAAGCCUGACGGAGCAACGCCGCGUGAGUGAUGAAGGUCUUCGGAUCGUAAAACUCUGUUAUUAGGGAAGAACAAAUGUGUAAGUAACUAUGCACGUCUUGACGGUACCUAAUCAGAAAGCCACGGCUAACUACGUG
rnacentral:rRNA from 1 species